GACGAACGCUGGCGGCGUGCCUAAUACAUGCAAGUAGAACGCUGAAGAGAGGAGCUUGCUCUUCUUGGAUGAGUUGCGAACGGGUGAGUAACGCGUAGGUAACCUGCCUGGUAGCGGGGGAUAACUAUUGGAAACGAUAGCUAAUACCGCAUAAAAUGGAUUAUCGCAUGAUAAUCAAUUGAAAGGUGCAAAUGCAUCACUACCAGAUGGACCUGCGUUGUAUUAGCUAGUUGGUGGGGUAACGGCUCACCAAGGCGACGAUACAUAGCCGACCUGAGAGGGUGAUCGGCCACACUGGGACUGAGACACGGCCCAGACUCCUACGGGAGGCAGCAGUAGGGAAUCUUCGGCAAUGGACGGAAGUCUGACCGAGCAACGCCGCGUGAGUGAAGAAGGUUUUCGGAUCGUAAAGCUCUGUUGUAAGAGAAGAACGAGUGUGAGAGUGGAAAGU
rnacentral:rRNA from 1 species